rnacentral:rRNA from 1 species
CCCUUAGAUGUUCUGGGCUGCACGCGCGCUACACUGAUGCGCUCAACGAGUUUUAACCUUGCCUGGAAAGGUUGGGUAAUCUUUUUAAAACGCAUCGUGAUGGGGAUAGAUUAUUGCAAUUAUUAAUCUUCAACGAGGAAUUCCUAGUAAGCGCGAGUCAUCAGCUCGUGCUGAUUACGUCCCUGCCCUUUGUACACACCGCCCGUCGCUCCUACCGAUUGAGUGUGUUGGUGAGGAGUUUGGAUUGGCCUCGGAAGGUGGUUCGCCACCGUCCGUAGCUGAGAAGUUCUCCAAACCGCCCCACUUAGAGGAAGGAGAAGUCGUAACA